UUAAGCGACUAAGCGUACACGGUGGAUGCCCUGGCAGUCAGAGGCGAUGAAGGGCGUGCUAAUCUGCGAUAAGCGCCGGUAAGGUGAUAUGAACCGUUAUAACCGGCGAUACCCGAAUGGGGAAACCCAGUGUGACUCGUCACACUAUCAUUAACUGAAUCCAUAGGUUAAUGAGGCGAACCGGGGGAACUGAAACAUCUAAGUACCCCGAGGAAAAGAAAUCAACCGAGAUUCCCCCAGUAGCGGCGAGCGAACGGGGAGGAGCCCAGAGCCUGAAUCAGCAUGUGUGUUAGUGGAAGCGUCUGGAAAGGCGCGCGAUACAGGGUGACAGCCCCGUACACAAAAGCGCAUGUGUUGUGAGCUCGAUGAGUAGGGCGGGACACGUGGUAUCCUGUCUGAAUAUGGGGGGACCAUCCUCCAAGGCUAAAUACUCCUGACUGACCGAUAGUGAACCAGUACCGUGAGGGAAAGGCGAAAAGAACCCCGGCGAGGGGAGUGAAAAAGAACCUGAAACCGUGUACGUACAAGCAGUGGGAGCACAGGUUUACCUGUGUGACUGCGUACCUUUUGUAUAAUGGGUCAGCGACUUAUAUUCUGUAGCAAGGUUAACCGAAUAGGGGAGCCGGAGGGAAACCGAGUCUUAACCGGGCGUUAAGUUGCAGGGUAUAGACCCGAAACCCGGUGAUCUAGCCAUGGGCAGGUUGAAGGUUGGGUAACACUAACUGGAGGACCGAACCGACUAAUGUUGAAAAAUUAGCGGAUGACCUGUGGCUGGGGGUGAAAGGCCAAUCAAACCGGGAGAUAGCUGGUUCUCCCCGAAAGCUAUUUAGGUAGCGCCUCGUGAACUCAUCUCCGGGGGUAGAGCACUGUUUCGGCUAGGGGGCCAUCCCGGCUUACCAACCCGAUGCAAACUGCGAAUACCGGAGAAUGUUAUCACGGGAGACACACGGCGGGUGCUAACGUCCGUCGUGAAGAGGGAAACAACCCAGACCGCCAGCUAAGGUCCCAAAGUCAUGGUUAAGUGGGAAACGAUGUGGGAAGGCCCAGACAGCCAGGAUGUUGGCUUAGAAGCAGCCAUCAUUUAAAGAAAGCGUAAUAGCUCACUGGUCGAGUCGGCCUGCGCGGAAGAUGUAACGGGGCUAAACCAUGCACCGAAGCUGCGGCAGCGAACGUAUCACCCAAGACAACUUUGCGGAGUUGACGAUUGACGGAGCGAAGCGACGUCAAAGCGUUCAUUAAAGUCGAGUUGGCUUAGGGAUACGUUCGUUGGGUAGGGGAGCGUUCUGUAAGCCAGUGAAGGUGUGUCGUGAGGCAUGCUGGAGGUAUCAGAAGUGCGAAUGCUGACAUAAGUAACGAUAAAGCGGGUGAAAAGCCCGCUCGCCGGAAGACCAAGGGUUCCUGUCCAACGUUAAUCGGGGCAGGGUGAGUCGACCCCUAAGGCGAGGCCGAAAGGCGUAGUCGAUGGGAAACGGGUUAAUAUUCCCGUACUUGGUGUUACUGCGAAGGGGGGACGGAGAAGGCUAUGUUGGCCGGGCGACGGUUGUCCCGGUUUAAGCGUGUAGGUGUGUGUUCCAGGUAAAUCCGGUUCACUUUAACACUGAGGCGUGACGACGAGGCACUACGGUGCUGAAGCAACAAAUGCCCUGCUUCCAGGAAAAGCCUCUAAGCAUCAGGUAACAUCAAAUCGUACCCCAAACCGACACAGGUGGUCAGGUAGAGAAUACCAAGGCGCUUGAGAGAACUCGGGUGAAGGAACUAGGCAAAAUGGUGCCGUAACUUCGGGAGAAGGCACGCUGACACGUAGGUGAAGUGAUUUACUCAUGGAGCUGAAGUCAGUCGAAGAUACCAGCUGGCUGCAACUGUUUAUUAAAAACACAGCACUGUGCAAACACGAAAGUGGACGUAUACGGUGUGACGCCUGCCCGGUGCCGGAAGGUUAAUUGAUGGGGUCAGCGCAAGCGAAGCUCCUGAUCGAAGCCCCGGUAAACGGCGGCCGUAACUAUAACGGUCCUAAGGUAGCGAAAUUCCUUGUCGGGUAAGUUCCGACCUGCACGAAUGGCGUAAUGAUGGCCAGGCUGUCUCCACCCGAGACUCAGUGAAAUUGAACUCGCUGUGAAGAUGCAGUGUACCCGCGGCAAGACGGAAAGACCCCGUGAACCUUUACUAUAGCUUGACACUGAACAUUGAGCCUUGAUGUGUAGGAUAGGUGGGAGGCUUUGAAGUGUGGACGCCAGUCUGCAUGGAGCCGACCUUGAAAUACCACCCUUUAAUGUUUGAUGUUCUAACGUGGACCCGUAAUCCGGGUUGCGGACAGUGUCUGGUGGGUAGUUUGACUGGGGCGGUCUCCUCCUAAAGAGUAACGGAGGAGCACGAAGGUUGGCUAAUCCUGGUCGGACAUCAGGAGGUUAGUGCAAUGGCAUAAGCCAGCUUGACUGCGAGCGUGACGGCGCGAGCAGGUGCGAAAGCAGGUCAUAGUGAUCCGGUGGUUCUGAAUGGAAGGGCCAUCGCUCAACGGAUAAAAGGUACUCCGGGGAUAACAGGCUGAUACCGCCCAAGAGUUCAUAUCGACGGCGGUGUUUGGCACCUCGAUGUCGGCUCAUCACAUCCUGGGGCUGAAGUAGGUCCCAAGGGUAUGGCUGUUCGCCAUUUAAAGUGGUACGCGAGCUGGGUUUAGAACGUCGUGAGACAGUUCGGUCCCUAUCUGCCGUGGGCGCUGGAGAACUGAGGGGGGCUGCUCCUAGUACGAGAGGACCGGAGUGGACGCAUCACUGGUGUUCGGGUUGUCAUGCCAAUGGCACUGCCCGGUAGCUAAAUGCGGAAGAGAUAAGUGCUGAAAGCAUCUAAGCACGAAACUUGCCCCGAGAUGAGUUCUCCCUGAGACUUUAGGUCUCCUGAAGGAACGUUGAAGACGACGACGUUGAUAGGCCGGGUGUGUAAGCGCAGCGAUGCGUUGAGCUAACCGGUACUAAUGAACCGUGAGGCUUAACCUU
rnacentral:rRNA from 1 species